rnacentral:lncRNA from 1 species
GUGGUUCAAUAACUUCAAGCUGGAAAAUGGUUGCGUGUAAGAUACUACAACAUCUUGGACAUUUGAAAUUGGACAGAAGUCUUUUUUUUAUGGACUUGUCAAAAAUGAACAUUAAUGGAAUGCCUAUUUUUUAUCGGAAUGUUUUUAAAGUUUGGAACUUGUUCAAAGUACAAAGAGAAGAACACUUUGAAUCUCUUUACUGGCUCCUUGAGGAACCACUAAUAUAUGGAGCACGCUUUGAUUUAGCACAAAAUGACUGUACAAUUCCUGGACUCACUGAAACACUUGUGGCUUCCAAAGUAUGCACAAUGGGGAGUCUAGUUAAUUUGUCUGGACCAGUUUUUGAGAAUGUGGAAAGAGUUGCUACGAGUCUGAAGAUCAAGUCAAGACGAUUUGUUUUUCAUUUACUAGAAAGAUGGAAAAAAAGACUCACUUCCGAUGAACUGAAACUUUUAUUGGACCACUGUGAAGGAAAAAAUGUGCCUAAUGAAGAAGAUGUUUUAUCUGAUUUUAUUCUUUUACCUGUUUUAGAUGAUGUCUCAGGAAUGUUUUUAAGCUCUGGAAAAUCCCUAUGUCUUAAUUUUUUUUCAAGUACUGGUAAAUCUUUUUAUAAAGCGUGUGUUUUUGUUUUUAACAAAAAAUCACUUGAUAAAAGGGUUGACACACCAUGGCGUAAUGUUUUAAAACUGGAUGAUGAUGUAAAACCAGAAUGGAGGUCAUUGUAUAAGCCACCUUUAAGCAAAAGAGUUGGGGACAUACAGUGGAGACUUUUACAUGGUGUGUUAGCAGUUAAUGCUUUUAUUUCAGUUUUAAAUUCUGAUGUUACUGCAGAGUGCCCUUUUUGUUUUAAGAGAGAAACUGUUUUUCAUGCGUAUAUGGAUUGUUUUAGACUGGAAAGGAUGUUUGGGUUAUUACAUAAUUUAUUUGAUAGUUUUAAUGAAUCUUUUUCUAUAAACAUAUUUAUUGCUGGUUUUAGAUAUGUUAGAAGAAAGAGGUUUAUUUGUCAGUGUUUAAAUUUUAUUAUAGGUCAAGCUAAAUUAGCAAUCUAUAUGAGCAGGAAAAACAAGAUAGAGCUGGGUGUGGAUCAAGAUAUUAAUACGCUGUUUUUAGCCACCGUUAAAUCCAGAAUUCUUAUUGAUUUUCAUUUUUAUACAUCCAUGGAUGACGUUUUUACUUUUGAAACGAAGUGGUGUAAGAAUGAUGCUCUGUGCUCUGUUAUUGAUGGAAAAAUAUCUUUUUCUCUUUUACUAAUGUAAAAAGGUUUUUGUUUUGUUUUUUUCCUUGUGGUAUUAAAAGGUAAAUGUAAAGUGGUAAAUGUUGAUUUGUUGAAAAGGUGUUUUAUGUGAAAUAUUGUAAUAAAAUAUUUUUUUCAAAAUUCAAAAAUCUCUCUCUCUCUCUCUCUCUGAGAUGAUGAGCCGCUUUGCUCUUGUCGCUAGGCGGCG